GACAGAGGGUGCAACCGUUGUUCGGAAUUACUGGGCGUAAAGCGAGUGUAGGCGGUCUGCUAAGUCGGGUGUGAAAGCCCCGGGCUCAACCCGGGAAGUGCACUCGAAACUGGCAGGCUAGAGUACUGGAGAGGUUGGUGGAAUUCUCGGUGUAGAGGUGAAAUUCGUAGAUAUCGAGAGGAACACCGGUGGCGAAGGCGGCCAACUGGACAGAUACUGACGCUGAGACUCGAAAGCGUGGGGAGCAAACAGG
rnacentral:rRNA from 1 species